CGGACGGGUGAGUAACGCGUGGGUAACCUGCCUCACACUGGGGGAUAACAGUUAGAAAUAGCUGCUAAUACCGCAUAAGCGCACAGUUCCGCAUGGAACAGUGUGAAAAACUCCGGUGGUAUGAGAUGGACCCGCGUCUGAUUAGCUAGUUGGUGGGGUAACGGCCUACCAAGGCGACGAUCAGUAGCCGACCUGAGAGGGUGACCGGCCACAUUGGGACUGAGACACGGCCCAA
rnacentral:rRNA from 1 species